rnacentral:rRNA from 1 species
CAGUAGCCGCGGUAAUACGUAGGGUGCAAGCGUUAAUCGGAAUUACUGGGCGUAAAGCGUGCGCAGGCGGUUUGUUAAGACAGAUGUGAAAUCCCCGGGCUUAACCUGGGAACUGCAUUUGUGACUGGCAAGCUAGAGUAUGGCAGAGGGGGGUGGAAUUCCGCGUGUAGCAGUGAAAUGCGUAGAGAUGUGGAGGAAUACCGAUGGCGAAGGCAGCCCCCUGGGCCAAUACUGACGCUCAUGCACGAAAGCGUGGGGAGCAAACAGGAUUAGAUACCCCGGUAGUCCCUGUCUCUUAUAC